UAUAUAUAUAUAUAUGUCUCAUUUUCAUGUUUAGCUUACACAGACCUAACAUUGGACUUAAUUUACUUGUUGCAAAAUAUUGUUUUUAACUUGCAUUGUUUCAAAAUGAGCUUCAUGUAGCAAUGACGAUUUCUUAAUGUAGUAUAGUUAAUUAUUUUUAUGUCUUUCAUACUCCUGCUAAUUGAUAUCUAUUACUGGAUUGGACAGCGCCUAUUAGUCGCUAUGUGAUUCAUUGAGUUAUGUCCAGAAAACCAUUUUACCCCAAUGCAGGACGAGGAGAAAUCUGUCACAAAAAUAUUCUUAGCGCCAUCAUUUGUUAUCCGAUAUAUCUAUUAAAUACGACUUAAAAUAAAGAGGAGAAAACUGAGGUUUGAUCAAUUCUCUGUGAUACAAAUCUAUUAACAAUUU